GAUGAACGCUGGCGGCGUGCCUAAUACAUGCAAGUCGAGCGAACGGACGAGAAGCUUGCUUCUCUGAUGUUAGCGGCGGACGGGUGAGUAACACGUGGAUAACCUACCUAUAAGACUGGGAUAACUUCGGGAAACCGGAGCUAAUACCGGAUAAUAUUUUGAACCGCAUGGUUCAAAAGUGAAAGACGGUCUUGCUGUCACUUAUAGAUGGAUCCGCGCUGCAUUAGCUAGUUGGUAAGGUAACGGCUUACCAAGGCAACGAUGCAUAGCCGACCUGAGAGGGUGAUCGGCCACACUGGAACGGAGACACGGUCCAGACUCCUACGGGAGGGAGCAGUAGGGAAUCUUCCGCAAUGGGCGAAAGCCUGACGGAGCAACGCCGCGUGAGUGAUGAAGGUCUUCGGAUCGUAAAACUCUGUUAUUAGGGAAGAACAUAUGUGUAAGUAACUGUGCACAUCUUGACGGUACCUAAUCAGAAAGCCACGGCUAACUACGUG
rnacentral:rRNA from 1 species